rnacentral:rRNA from 1 species
AACUGGGAUUAGAUACCCCACUAUGCCUAGCCCUAAACAUUGAUAGUAUUAUACACCCACUAUCCGCCCGGGAACUACGAGCAAUAGCUUAAAACCCAAAGGACUUGGCGGUGCUUUAGAUCCACCUAGAGGAGCCUGUUCUA